AACCUCGGCAUCAACAUUAUAAACUUCAGAAAAACUCUGGUUAAACAUCUUCUGUGUAAAAAAAUGAUCAGCACCCCUCCCCCCCACGUAUUUGCUAUUCUCAUGAUAAAACCUCCCAUCAAAAGUUUACUCGUUUACACUAAAAUACGUGAAUAAUUACACGUGUACACAAACAAAUGUACUGUGUUGUAGAAACAAAUGUUCAUUUUACGCGACUAGGUAAAAACGUAUAUACAUAUGAAAGGAAAUGUGAAGAACCACUAUCAACAAAGUUAAAAAGUAGGUGUU